UGAUUGUAAGAACACAUGACACUGGCCACAUUGCCAUCGAUCACACAGCUCUUGAACGGUGGCUGAAACGUGUCCUCCAAAUCUUGCGGGGACACCUUCAAUCAAAAGACAAAGACAACCUUCAGUUAUCCAAAUCAUAGGCAGUGUAGUGUUUGCAGCAGGCGGCGACUUUAAGGUGGUCGGGAUUGCCAUCCUCCCGCUGCUGCAGGCCUCGGACAUAGCUGACAGCAUACUUGCUGGAGAGCAAAGGGUCCUCCCCAGGAGUCUCUUGGCCUCUGCCCCAUCUGGGGUCUCUGAAAAUGUUAACAUUGGGCGACCAAAAGGUUAAAAACAGAUUGUUUUGGCUUGAUUAAAGCAUUUCUGCUACCCACAUUGUCCAGAAGCAGAGUUAGAGAGACAGAGAGAAACAGAGGAGCAUUGCUUGAAUUACCUUUCCAAUGG